rnacentral:rRNA from 1 species
UACGUAGGGUGCGAGCGUUACUCGGAAUUACUGGGCGUAAAGCGUGCGCAGGCGGUUUUGUAAGCCAGAUGUGAAAGCCCCGGGCUUAACCUGGGAAUGGCAUUUGGGACUGCAAGGCUGGAGUGUGGCAGAGGAGACUGGAAUUCCUGGUGUAGCAGUGAAAUGCGUAGAUAUCAGGAGGAAUACCGAUGGCGAAGGCAGGUCUCUGGGCUGACACUGACGCUCAUGCACGAAAGCGUGGGGAGCAAACAGG